CCUACGGAUGGCAGCAGUGAGGAAUAUUGGUCAAUGGUCGGGAGACUGAACCAGCCAAGCCGCGUGAGGGAUGAAGGUACAGAGUAUCGUACACCUCUUUUGUCAGGGAACAAAGGCGGGGACGCGUCCCCGGAUGAGUGUACCUGAAGAAACAGCAUCGGCUAACUCCGUGCCAGCAACCGCGGUAAUACGGAGGAUGAGAGCGUUAUCCGGAUUUAUUGGGUUUAACGGGUGCGCAGGCGGGCUGUUAAGUCAGCGGUCAAAGCCCGGGGCUCAACCCCGGCCCGCCGUUGAAACUGGCAGUCUCGAGUUGGAGAGAAGUAUGCGGAAUGCGCGGUGUAGCGGUGAAAUGCAUAGAUAUCGCGCAGAACUCCGAUUGCGAAGGCAGCAUGCCGGCUCCACACUGACGCUGAGGCACGAAAGCGUGGGUAUCGAACAGGAUUAGAUACCCUUGUAGUC
rnacentral:rRNA from 1 species